CCCUUGUACACACCGCCCGUCACACCAUGGGAGUUGGUCUUACCUUAAGACGGUGUGCUAACCGCAAGGAGGCAGCCGGCCACGGUAAGGUCAGCGACUGGGGUG
rnacentral:rRNA from 1 species